rnacentral:rRNA from 1 species
UACGUAGGGGGCUAGCGUUGUCCGGAAUCAUUGGGCGUAAAGCGCGCGUAGGCGGCCAGAUAAGUCCGGUGUGAAAGCCACAGGCUCAACCUGUGAAUGCCGCUGGAAACUGUCUGGCUAGAGUCCGGGAGGGGCGAGUGGAAUUCCUGGUGUAGCGGUGAAAUGCGCAGAUAUCAGGAGGAACACCAAUGGCGAAGGCAGCUCGCUGGAACGGAACUGACGCUGAGGCGCGGAAAGCGUGGGGAGCGAACAGG